GGGAGCCCAGAGGAGUCCUAGGGCUGACAGGCCGAGGUAGAGAAAUGGGCCUGGAGGGCCGAGGUGCAGCCGCGGACUCAGCGCAAUACCAAGCUGGUGGAGGGGAAGCCUGAGGCAAGGAUGACGAGCCGCCCGGAGCUAGCAGCAGAGGCAGAGCCAAAGAGCUGGACAACACCAGUGGUGCCAACGGCUCCAGGGAACUGGCCGAAACCAGCGGAGAAGAUGGGACCAGGAAAUCCGAGAGGGACAUCGGGGAGAAAGGUCCGGACCGAACCGGCGAAUAAGACAAAGGUUUGAGGGUGGAUACUUGGGUGGGAACUGGAUCUGCGGAACACAGAUCUAUGAGGUUUUGGUCUGCUCCUGGCUCUAAGGUGAACUGAUCAGCGAGUUUAGUCUCCGAGGCUUUGGUGGUAUCUGGCUCUGUUUCCUGGAUGAGCUCUGUUGGCAUCCCAGCCUUGCUGACUGUGAGGGAGAGGCCAUCGUUCUGGAGCAUCCAGCCCAAAUACUCCAGCCACAUUCGGUUCUCCAGCCUGAGAAGGAGAAGUAACGCUGAUGAAACACUUGACGUGCCACGGUCAGCCCCACGGUUCCAGAGCAGCGGCCUGAAGUGAGAAGAGAAUUCCCUGUGCUGUGCUCAGAAUUGCUGACAGAUGGAGAGCCGCACUGACAAUGCAGGUGUGAGAUGGGCCAGACAAUUGGCUGAUGCACUCCAAGGGCUCUCACGGUGUCACAGAAGUUUUUACUCAAGCGACUCAUUCUUAAAAUAUCUUUGCUGAGGAAUACAGUUCGGCCAGAGAGGAAUUAUUUGUCUCUGUCUUUUCUAUUGUUAGUCGUGUACAAGAACAAAAGCCCUAUACAACAGUUCUGUGGACUCAGCCGGCGGGGAAGUACAUGAGAACUUUAGAUAAGCACUACCUCAGUGCGGCCUACAGGGUGCUUCCCACUUCUCCAAUAUUUACAGUCCAUUCAAGAGCUGUUUUACAGCUUCUGUAAUGCAAUCGCAUUGAAUCAUAGACACCCUCCUAAAAGAGGCGUAUUACCCAAUUACAGUGGACCCUAGCUCAUCGAUCUCCCCACUCCAAUGACAGCGGGUCAGAAAAGAAGAGCUGCCUUUAUAAUUCACAUCACUGAGAUAGGUGACACUUCUCAGGAUUACUACUGACCUUAUCUGAGGUCAUGGCUUAUACAGCUUGAGCAGAGGACAAAAGCAGGCUGGUGUAGAUGGUACAGCAAAUGAAUGCAAAACCAUGACCAUUAAGAGUGAAUGCUAAUCAUUUAGAGCCGUGUGAUAUGGCAGGGCUGUCUUUUCCCCCUAGAAUAGGGAUGUCAAACUCAGUUCCUGGAGGGCUAUCCAUCCAUCCAUACAUCUAAUAAAAAUAUGUUUGAGUGUAAUCUGAGAAGAAAC
ensembl:lncRNA